rfam:Schistosoma margrebowiei strain Zambia genome assembly, scaffold: SMRZ_scaffold0003875
AGCCAGCUAACUAGUCCCAAAUAGGACGAAACGCUCUUCCUAGAU